GUUCACUGUGACUUGUCCAGGCUUGUUGACUGGUUGAGCUGCUGUUAACUGUGUUCAGCUGUUGAGUCAGAACUCAGAAGUCUAGUUGAAUAAACAUCAGUAGUCAAAAAUAAUUAAAAUAUGGACUACCCAAAGCCCCAGGCCCUCACCCCUUUCGAUGCGGCUAGAUCCCAGGCUAAGACAUCACAACAAGUGACUAUAAUAGAUUCGCAUAAAAGUACUACUACUAAAAAUGGUACACAAAGUGAAACACGAACUAGAAAAAUUAUAAUAACAAAGACAGGCUCAGAGAGCAAGUAAAGACAUUAAUACAAGAAAUGUAUGCUCUUAAUUUUAGGUACUAUAAAUAAUUAUGUGUGAUUAUUACAUUUGGACAUUUUGGAUUUACCAAUCAGAUCACUUAUCAGUUUACCAAUCAGAAUAAUUAUGUAUUGAAAUUAAAAUUAAUAAUA